CGCGUAGGCGGCCCGGUCAGUCCGCUCUGAAAGUCCAGGGCUCAACCCUGGAAUGCGGGUGGAUACUGCCGGGCUAGAGUCCGGAAGAGGCGAGUGGAAUUCCUGGUGUAGCGGUGGAAUGCGCAGAUAUCAGGAGGAACACCGAUAGCGAAGGCAGCUCGCUGGGACGGUACUGACGCUGAGGCGCGAAAGCGUGGGGAGCGAACA
rnacentral:rRNA from 1 species